rnacentral:rRNA from 1 species
UUGACCUCGGAUCAGGUAGGAAUACCCGCUGAACUUAAGCAUAUCAAUAAGCGGAGGAAAAGAAACCAACAGGGAUUGCCCUAGUAACGGCGAGUGAAGCGGCAACAGCUCAAAUUUGAAAUCUGGCUUUCGGGCCCGAGUUGUAAUUUGUAGAGGAUGAUUUUGAUGCGGUGCCUUCCGAGUUCCCUGGAACGGGACGCCAUAGAGGGUGAGAGCCCCGUCUGGUUGGAUGCCAAAUCUCUGUAAAUCUCCUUCGACGAGUCGAGUAGUUUGGGAAUGCUGCUCUAAAUGGGAGGUAUAUGUCUUCUAAAGCUAAAUACCGGCCAGAGACCGAUAGCGCACAAGUAGAGUGAUCGAAAGAUGAAAAGCACUUUGAAAAGAGAGUUAAAAAGUACGUGAAAUUGUUGAAAGGGAAGCGUUUAUGACCAGACUUGGGCUUGGUUAAUCAUCUGGGGUUCUCUCCAGUGCACUUUUCCAGUCCAGGCCAGCAUCAGUUUUCGCCGGGGGAUAAAGGCUUCGGGAAUGUGGCUCCCCUCGGGGAGUGUUAUAGCCCGUUGUGUAAUACCCUGGUGGGGACUGAGGUUCGCGCUUCCUGCAAGGAUGCGGCUA